UACGUAGGGGGCAAGCGUUGUCCGGAUUUAUUGGGCGUAAAGAGCUCGUAGGUGGUUCGGCAAGUCGGAUGUGAAAUCUCCAGGCUCAACCUGGAGGGGUCAUUCGAUACUGCCGUGACUAGAGUUCGGUAGGGGAGUGUGGAAUUCCUGGUGGAGCGGUGAAAUGCGCAGAUAUCAGGAGGAACACCCGUAGCGAAGGCGGCACUCUGGGCCGAUACUGACACUGAGGAGCGAAAGCGUGGGGAGCGAACAGG
rnacentral:rRNA from 1 species